GAGAGAGAGCGAGAAACAGAGAGAUUGAGAAAGAGAGGUAUGAAGAGAGAGAGCGAGAAACAGAGAGAUUGAGAAAGAGAGGUACGAAGAGAGAGAGCGAGAAACAGAGAGAUUGAGAAAGAGAGGUACGAAGAGAGAGAGCGAGAAACAGAGAGAUUGAGAAAGAGAGGUACGAAGAGAGAGAGCGAGAAACAGAGAGAUUGAGAAAGAGAGGUACGAAGAGAGAGAGCGAGAAACAGAGAGAUUGAGAAAGAGAGGUACGAAGAGAGAGAGCGAGAAACAGAGAGAUUGAGAAAGAGAGGUACGAAGAGAGAGAGCGAGAAACAGAGAGAUUGAGAAAGAGAGGUACGAAGAGAGAGAGCGAGAAACAGAGAGAUUGAGAAAGAGAGGUACGAAGAGAGAGAGCGAGAAACAGAGAGAUUGAGAAAGAGAGGUACGAAGAGAGAGAGCGAGAAACAGAGAGAUUGAGAAAGAGAGGUACGAAGAGAGAGAGCGAGAAACAGAGAGAUUGAGAAAGAGAGGUACGAAGAGAGAGAGCGAGAAACAGAGAGAUUGAGAAAGAGAGGUACGAAGAGAGAGAGCGAGAAACAGAGAGAUUGAGAAAGAGAGGUACGAAGAGAGAGAGCGAGAAACAGAGAGAUUGAGAAAGAGAGGUACGAAGAGAGAGAGA